AAUGAACGUUGGCGGCGUGGAUUAGGCAUGCAAGUCGCGCGAGAAGCUAAUUAGCUUGCUAAGAGGCGGACAGCGGCGGAAGGGAGAGUAACGCGUGGUUACGUACCCUCGAGACCGGGAUAGUAGCGGGAAACUGCUAGUAAUACCGGAUAACAUCUUCGGAUCAAAUGGUGUGAUUCCGCUCGAGGAUUGGACCGCGUACUAUUAGCUUGUUGGCGGGGUAAUGGCCCACCAAGGCUGCGAUGGUUACCGGGUGUGAGAGCAUGGCCCGGCUCACUGGGACUGAGACACUGCCCAGACAUCUACGGAUGGCUGCAGUCGAGAAUCUUCGGCAAUGGACGAAAGUCUGACCGAGCGACGCCGCGUGCGGGAUGAAGGCCCUCGGGUUGUAAACCGCUGUCAGUUAGGAGGAAAUCCCAUAGGGUUCUCUCUAUGGGUUGACCGAUUUUCAGAGGAAGGACGGGCUAAGUUCGUG
rnacentral:rRNA from 1 species